rnacentral:rRNA from 1 species
AUUGAACGCUGGCGGCAGGCCUAACACAUGCAAGUCGAACGGUAACAGGAAACAGCUUGCUGUUUCGCUGACGAGUGGCGGGCGGGUGAGUCAUGUCUGGGAAACUGCCUGAUGGAGGGGGAUAACUACUGGAAACGGUAGCUAAUACCGCAUAACGUCGCAAGACCAAAGAGGGGGACCUUCGGGCCUCUUGCCAUCGGAUGUGCCCAGAUGGGAUUAGCUAGUAGGUGGGGUAACGGCUCACCUAGGCGACGAUCCCUAGCUGGUCUGAGAGGAUGACCAGCCACACUGGAACUGAGACACGGUCCAGACUCCUACGGGAGGCAGCAGUGGGGAAUAUUGCACAAUGGGCGCAAGCCUGAUGCAGCCAUGCCGCGUGUAUGAAGAAGGCCUUCGGGUUGUAAAGUACUUUUAGCGGGGAGGAAGGGAGUAAAGUUAAUACCUUUGCUCAUUGACGUUACCCGCAGAAGAAGCACCGGCUAACUCCGUG